rnacentral:rRNA from 1 species
UACAGAGGUCUCAAGCGUUGUUCGGAUUCAUUGGGCGUAAAGGGUGCGUAGGCGGCGCGGUAAGUCGGGUGUGAAAUCUUGGAGCUUAACUCCGAAACUGCAUUCGAUACUGCCGUGCUUGAGGACUGGAGAGGAGACUGGAAUUUACGGUGUAGCGGUGAAAUGCGCAGAUAUCGGGAAGAACACCCGUGGCGAAGGCGGUUCUCUGGGACGGUACUGGACGCUGAGACGCGAAAGCGUGGGGAGCGAACAGG